ensembl:lncRNA
GAUGUGACCUGGGAGGACUCGCUGCAGGUCGGCCUGGAGGGAGCCCUCCUGGGAUGGUGCGUAGCUCCCGUAGUUCCGGCCCCGGGCCUGCCCUGAGCGGCAGCCGCGGUAAAUCGUGCGGGCAAAGCCGGGCUCCGGCACGGCCGGGAGCUCCUCCGGCUUGUGCGCGGGGACUCUGAGGGGCUUGGCAAACUCCCAAGUGACUUCUGUGCCUGUUUCACACUUGGAUGGAGAAACCUUUUGUAGGGAUGUAGUUUUCAAUUGAAAUCCAAGAGUUUUGCUGCUAUAACCUCUGUAGGUAGAGAGAAACAUUGGAGCAAAGCAGUAGAAGACAGCUUAACUUGUAGGUCCCUUUGUUCCCUUCCCUAAAAGGUUUCUUACUUAAAACAUCUCUGCGUUUUGUUUGGUUUGGUGGGGUUUUGGUUGGUUUGUUCUUGGGGAGAGGGGUGGCUGUUGGCUGGUUGGUUUUUCUUAAUACUGAAAAUAAAAAACUUGCGCUGCCUUAUUCUUGCAAGGUUUGGUAACUCAGUCUAACAGGAAGGAAGUGAAAUGUCAUCUAGGGGCUUACAGAACCAAUAGCUUGUUUAAAUGAUUUUUAAAGGCUAUUUUACAAACUGUCAGGACUGGGAACUUUUUCAAUAUAAGACUUGCUCUUUUUUUGACUUUUCCUUGCCCCUCCCUCUGCAUGGGGUAAGAAUCUAUUUUAUUAGAAAGAAUUUACAACUAGCACAUGCAUUGCUUUAUUACUUAAAUCAUGUUUGAGUAGAAUACUCUAAACCAUUCUGUCAUAGUAAGAUGUGCAUUUUCUUCCUUAAUAGCAACUUCACUUAUUAGAUAGAUUACUUCUUUCACAACAUGCCCAGUUUCUUAUGGUGAUAUUGGUUUUGUACAUAUUACUUUUUUGAGGAGGAGGUGUUAUUAUGCCUUGGAUUUUGCCCCAAGGGAACUGAAGAUUUGAUGUCCUCUGACAAAUAUGCAGCAUCUGUGGUUUCAAAAGCUUCUUUUUAAAAACAUUUCCCUUUCUCCUUUUAGUGCUUAUUAUUUAUUAUUCUGUCGGUCCUGUGGCUUGGCCGUGGGCUUCAUUCUUUAUUCUUCUGGCAGUGAGCUGGCACAUCUCCGGGACUUGUUCUGUUUCUUCAAGGACAGCAUCAUGUGUUACUUCUUAAAAAAUCAAAUUAUUAUAGAAGCUUCUAAGGUGAAUUUUCCAGCUGUGACCUUGAAGAAACACAUGCAGAAUGUAAGAAAAUACUUUUAAAAUGCUGAUAAUUUUGGACAUUAAUUCAAAACUAUUGACACAAAUGUGGGGGUUUUUAGUGCCUAAGAUUGAGAAGAUGCUGCCUUAUUUGACAAUAGCUGACUCAGUGCAUGAGACGUGAAACAUUUUCUAAGAACUCUGAAGUGCAGAACAUACCAAAUUCUAGCUAAAUUUUGGCAAAAGUUUGUUAUCUUUUUAUCUCUAUACCUUGCAAAGAAAAAAAACCCUAAAGUCAUUUAUGCAAACUUGGCCUAAGUAUUACGACUUGUGUUGUCAUUGUUGAAGAAUUUAAAAAUAGAUGGUUUUUUUGAAAGGGAUUUUUAAAGUCAUAUUUUUAUGUCUGUGUAAGAUCAAAACACCAUGGCAGUAUUUGUAGUUUCAGAGAGAAUUCUAGGACCUCCCUCCUGUUUUGGUGUUCAAAGUGGAUGUUCUUACCUGUAACCUGACUAGUGGUUAUGUUAGUUAAUUGCCUGCUUUAGCUCAAAUAAAGUUAUUGUGUGUUGGAGACA